rnacentral:rRNA from 1 species
GACGUAGGAGGCGAGCGUUGUCCGGAUUCAUUGGGCGUAAAGAGCUCGUAGGCGGCUUAGUAAGUCGGGUGUGAAACCUCCAGGCUCAACCUGGAGACGCCACCCGAUACUGCUGUGGCUAGAGUCCGGUAGGGGAGCGUGGAAUUCCUGGUGUAGCGGUGAAAUGCGCAGAUAUCAGGAGGAACACCAGCGGCGAAGGCGGCGCUCUGGGCCGGUACUGACGCUGAGGAGCGAAAGCGUGGGGAGCAAACAGG